rnacentral:rRNA from 1 species
CGCGGCCUAUCAGCUUGUUGGUGGGGUGAUGGCCUACCAAGGCUUCGACGGGUAGCCGGCCUGAGAGGGCGUCCGGCCACACUGGGACUGAGACACGGCCCAGACUCCUACGGGAGGCAGCAGUGGGGAAUAUUGCGCAAUGGGCGGAAGCCUGACGCAGCGACGCCGCGUGGGGGAUGACGGCCUUCGGGUUGUAAACCUCUUUCGACUUCGACGAAGCCUUUUGGGGUGACGGUAGGGGUGGAAGAAGCACCGGCCAACUACGUGCCAGCAGCCGCGGUAAUACGUAGGGUGCGAGCGUUGUCCGGAAUUAUUGGGCGUAAAGAGCUCGUAGGCGGUGUGUCACGUCGGCCGUGAAAACCUGCAGCUUAACUGUGGGCGUGCGGUCGAUACGGGCAUCACUGGAGUUCGGCAGGGGAGACUGGAAUUCCUGGUGUAGCGGUGAAAUGCGCAGAUAUCAGGAGGAACACCGGUGGCGAAGGCGGGUCUCUGGGCCGAUACUGACGCUGAGGAGCGAAAGCGUGGGGAGCGAACAGGAUUAGAUACCCUGGUAGUCCACGCCGUAAACGGUGGGCACUAGGUGUGGGGGCCAUUCCACGGUCUCUGUGCCGCAGCUAACGCAUUAAGUGCCCCGCCUGGGGAGUACGG